rnacentral:rRNA from 1 species
UACGUAGGGGGCAAGCGUUGUCCGGAAUCAUUGGGCGUAAAGAGCGCGUAGGCGGCCCAGUAAGUCCGCUCUGAAAGUCAGGGGCUCAACCCCUGAAUGCGGGUGGAUACUGUCGGGCUCGAGUACGGAAGAGGCGAGUGGAAUUCCUGGUGUAGCGGUGAAAUGCGCAGAUAUCAGGAGGAACACCAAUUGCGAAGGCAGCUCGCUGGGACGUUACUGACGCUGAGACGCGAAAGCGUGGGGAGCAAACAGG